UAACAGCUCAAAUUUGAAAUCUGGCUCCCUGCGGAGUCCGAGUUGUAAUUUGUAGAAGAUGCUUUGGGUGCGUGGCCCGGCCUAAGUUCCUUGGAACAGGACGUCGUAGAGGGUGAGAAUCCCGUAUGCGGCCGGGGCGCCUGCCCGUGUAAAGCUCUUUCGACGAGUCGAGUUGUUUGGGAAUGCAGCUCAAAAUGGGUGGUAAAUUUCAUCUAAAGCUAAAUAUGGGCCAGAGACCGAUAGCGCACAAGUAGAGUGAUCGAAAGAUGAAAAGCACUUUGGAAAGAGAGUUAAACAGUACGUGAAAUUGUUGAAAGGGAAGCGCUUGCAACCAGACUUGGGCGUCGCUGAUCAUCCAAAGUUUUCUUUGGUGCACUCGGCGAGGCACAGGCCAGCAUCGGUUGGGGUGGUGGGAGAAAGGUCGUGGGAACGUAGCUCCUUUCGGGGAGUGUUAUAGCCUGCGGCGCAAUACCACCUACUCCGACCGAGGACCGCGCUUCGGCUAGGAUGCUGGCGUAAUGGUUGUAAGCGACCCGUCUUGAAACACGGACCAAGGAGUCUAACAUCUAUGCGAGUGUUUGGGUGCAAAACCCAUACGCGUAAUGAAAGUGAACGUAGGUGAGAACCCUUCGAGGGGGCAUCAUCGACCGAUCCUGAUGUCUUCGGAUGGAU
rnacentral:rRNA from 1 species